rnacentral:tRNA from 1 species
ACUGUAGUGCAAUGGGUAGCGUGUUGGACUUCUAAUUCAAAGGUCGUGGGUUCGAAUCCCACCUAAAAUG